AAGGGCACCACAAGAACGCGUGGAGCAUGUGGCUUAAUUUGACUCAACGCGGGGAAUCUUACCGGGUCCGGACACACUGAGGAUUGACAGGCAAAUCUAAUAGAAUCUUUCUCAUUUUUUUUAAUGAGUAUAGAUUUCUAUUUGUUAUAAAGAUGCUAGUCCUUUCAUGAUUAUGUGAUAGGUGGUGCAUGGCCGUUCUUAGUUCGUGGAGUGAUCUGUCUGCUUAAUUGCGUUUCACUAAGGUCCCAGUAAUCUAAGGUAUGCUCGUCUACUUAUCUCAUAUGACGCUGAUAGACCCCUCGUAAGAGCGCGUUGUCUAUUGCGUUAAUAUAUGUAACAAGUGACACAUACUGUUGGGAUCUGAAAGCAACGAACGUGACCGCAACGUCUUGUUGCCUUUCUAAUUUAUUCUAAUUCUUUUGUAAUUAGUCUAAUAACAAAGGCUAUUCUUUAAACUAGACGGACCGCUGUUUCUCUUUUAAACCAGAGGAAGGUUGCGGCAAUAACAGGUCUGUGAUGCCCUUAGAUGUUCCGGGCUGCACACGUGCUACAAUGAUCAGUACAGUGAGCAUCUCAAUUUAUUACUAACACCGCUUUAUUAAAGCAUUUAGUGUGUAGUUGUGUAAGCAGCUGCCUCUGAUAUGCGCGGUAACACCUGUCUCGAGAGUCGAUGGGUAAUCCAUUAGAAGUAAUGAUUCCUCUCUUUUAUAUAGCACACUGAUAUACAGCAUCGGUUCCCGAGGUAACCUUGUGUUACUUAUGUGCGAGCGUGAUGUCAGAGCUUAACGUUUAUUAUUCUUUAUGUCUAAUAGAUCUCCGAUUUUACUGUACGUGCAAUUGUUAAUUCGUGGUGGGGACAGACCAUUGUUAACUAUUGGUCUCGGUCUUAACUAGGAAUGCCUCGUACGGGUCUUGGUUCAACAAACCACCCGGAAUACGUCCCUGCCCUUUGUACACACCGCCCGUCGCUCUUACCGAUGAACUUCUUUGUGAGUCUAAGGGACUGGGUAAUGAUUCAUUCUUUUUCAUUAAAGUUUGAAUUACCUAUAGAAACUUAGCCGAACAAGGUGGUUUAAAGGAAAGAGAAGUCGUAACAAGGCAGCAGUAGGUGAACCUGCCGAUGGAUCA
rnacentral:rRNA from 1 species